rnacentral:rRNA from 1 species
CCCAAUGAUAUCUCUAGAAGGCAUCUGAAAGAGAUUAAAGAUUUAUCGGUGAUGGAUGGGGAUGCGUCUGAUUAGCUUGUUGGCGGGGUAACGGCCCACCAAGGCAACGAUCAGUAGGGGUUCUGAGAGGAAGGUCCCCCACAUUGGAACUGAGACACGGUCCAAACUCCUACGGGAGGCAGCAGUGAGGAAUAUUGGUCAAUGGACGAGAGUCUGAACCAGCCAAGUAGCGUGCAGGAUGACGGCCCUAUGGGUUGUAAACUGCUUUUAUAAGGGAAUAAAGUGAGUCUCGUGAGACUUUUUGCAUGUACCUUAUGAAUAAGGACCGGCUAAUUCCGUGCCAGCAGCCGCGGUAAUACGGAAGGUCCGGGCGUUAUCCGGAUUUAUUGGGUUUAAAGGGAGCGUAGGCCGGAGAUUAAGCGUGUUGUGAAAUGUAGAUGCUCAACAUCUGAACUGCAGCGCGAACUGGUUUCCUUGAGUACGCACAAAGUGGGCGGAAUUCGUGGUGUAGCGGUAAAAUGCUUAGAUAUCACGAAGAACUCCGAUUGCGAAGGCAGCUCACUGGAGCGCAACUGACGCUGAAGCUCGAAAGUGCGGGUAUCGAACAGGAUUAGAUACCCUGGUAGUCCGCACGGU